AGUAAAAGCUGAUUAAUACAGAGGGCUGGACAGUGGUUUCAUUCAUUAGGUAAAGAGGUGGGACAACGAUGCUGACAGGACAGGAGGAGGUGACAUUCAGACAUUCAGCGCAGACAUUUUCAUCCAAAGCAACUUGAGGAAGAAAACAGAAGCAGUUCAUCCUAAAAG